UACGUAGGGGGCGAGCGUUGUCCGGAAUUAUUGGGCGUAAAGAGCUCGUAGGCGGCUUGUCACGUCGAUUGUGAAAGCCCGAGGCUUAACCUCGGGUCUGCAGUCGAUACGGGCUAGCUAGAGUGUGGUAGGGGAGAUCGGAAUUCCUGGUGUAGCGGUGAAAUGCGCAGAUAUCAGGAGGAACACCAAUAGCGAAGGCAGCUCGCUGGGACGGUAUUGACGCUGAGGCGCGAAAGCGUGGGGAGCAAACAGG
rnacentral:rRNA from 1 species